GGCACGGAGUUAGCCGGGCUCUUCUCUCGCUACCGUCAUCAUCUUCGCGAGUGAAAGUGCUUUACAACCCAAGGCCUUCUUCACACACGCGGCAUUGCUGGAUCAGGCUUGCGCCCAUUGUCCAAUAUUCCCC
rnacentral:rRNA from 1 species